rnacentral:rRNA from 1 species
AACCCCCUAACACUUAGCACUCAUCGUUUACGGCGUGGACUACCAGGGUAUCUAAUCCUGUUURAUCCCCACGCUUUCGCACAUCAGCGUCAGUUACAGACCADAAAGUCGCCUUCGCCACUGGUGUUCCUCCAUAUCUCUGCGCAUUUCACCGCUACACAUGGAAUUCCACUUUCCUCUUCUGCACUCAAGUUUUCCAGUUUCCAAUGACCCUCCACGGUUGAGCCGUGGGCUUUCACAUCAGACUUAAAAAACCGCCUACGCGCGCUUUACGCCCAAUAAUUCCSGAUAACGCUUGCCACCUACGUAUUACCGCGGCUGCUGGCACGUAGUUAGCCGUGGCUUUCUGAUCAGGUACCGUCAAGACGUGCACAGUUACUUACACGUUUGUUCUUCCCUGAUAACAGAGUUUUACGAUCCNAAGACCUUCAUCACUCACGUGGCGUUUCUCCGUCAGGCUUUCGCCCAUUGCGGAAGAUUCCCUACUGCUGCCUYCCGUAGRGGUCUGGACCGUGUCUCAGUUCCAGUGUGGCCGAUCACCCUCUCAGG